rnacentral:RNase_P_RNA from 1 species
CAACCGCACCGGACAGUCGCGCGCGGCAUACCGAAAGGGACCGUUGUGAGGAAAGUCCGGGCUUCGCAGGGCAGGAUAACGGAUAACAUCCGCCGAAGGCGACUUCAGGGCCAGUGCAACAGAAAUAAACCGCCGUGUUUUGUCACGGUAAGGAUGGAAAGGCGAGGUAAGAGCUCACCGGUGCGGCGGAGACGUCGCAGCCAUGUAAACCCUAUCCGAAGCAACACCGCAUAAGGGAGCGUUAAUGCUUGCCCGGCAGCUUCCACAGGUGGCAAGGAAACGUGCGGCAACGUACGUUCAAGAUAGAUGACUGUCGAUAACAGAACCCGGCUUAUAGGUGCGGUUGCUUU